UAAUGUGUGGUGAUUGUAGUGAGUAGAAUGAAUUGUUCAAUAUCAAAGUUUGAAAUAACAAACAUUGCACACAGCAUCAAAUAUAAAAUAGCAUUCACUUCUAUCACUACUAUCAAGAGAUUACAUGGUAUUAAGAUAAGAUGUGAGUAAAACCCCAGUCGGCCGCUAGUUCCCACAGUCAGCUGAUAGGCGGCAUCAACAACACAACAACACUCACCCAAAAGUCUGAAGCAUCUUUAUCUCUGUGUAUCAAGUCUUCAAAAGGAAUAGUACAGUUUGCAACAAAAUCAUCAGGCGGAAUGGCAGCAUCAUGGAACACUGUGAUGCCCAAGCUG